rnacentral:lncRNA from 1 species
UGAAUAGAUUCCCUUCCUUGAACUUAAAAGGACUACAAAAAACCCCCAACAAAAACAAAAACAAAAAACCUUCCACUGUAGUGAAAAGAUAUAGACUUAAACUAGCAUGAGAAAAUAGAUGAAACAAUAAUAGCUAGUGUUUAUACAGUACUUUAUGGUUUAUAAAGCACUUCACAUCUUAUCUCAUUUGGUCUUAAAGGUUAUUUGGAGAGGUGGGUGCUAUCAUUCAUUAUAUUGAUUUUACAGAUUUUUUUUUACAGAUUUUACAGAUUUACAGAUGAGGAGACUGAGGGAGACAGAAGUUAAGUGACUUGGCUAAGAUCACUCGGGUUCUACUGUUUCACCCAGAAUUCAAAGGAUUUCAAAUAAGACUCGACAAGCAUAAGUUUCCUCACAUCUCAAAGAGUCAGGAUCAAGUGAAAUGACUGGACAACAAAGAGAAAUGUGGCAUCCAGAAUGAAGCAGAUGGAUUCCCUCUGCACACUUUCCUCAUGAAACCACACCUGAGAGAGAGAGAGAGCGAGAGAGAAACAGAGGGAGAAAGUGAGGUAUUAGCUGAUUUCUCAGAUAAUUUCUGAGCUGAUUUCUCUUAUAAUUCUAAAUGGAUCAUCCUAAGAGAUGGAAGAGAAGAGGAAUUUAAUAAAGACUUGAAAGCAUAUCA